GUAUAUUCUGAAAUGAUGACAAGGGGCCCUUCUGUGUGGGCCUCUCACAGUGUACCCAUGCCAGAGUGAACUGUGGCCUCCUGUCACUGCCCAGCUUCACUGCCUGUGGGCCACGAGCACUGAAGAAGGUGGCACAGUU
rnacentral:snoRNA from 1 species